UACGUAGGGACCGAGCGUUGUCCGGAAUCAUUGGGCGUAAAGAGCGUGUAGGCGGCCCCUUAAGUCCUGCGUGAAAUCCUGCGGCUCAACCGCAGACGGUCGUGGGAAACUGGAGGGCUAGAGUGCGGGAGAGGAGAGUGGAAUUCCCGGUGUAGCGGUGAAAUGCGCAGAUAUCGGGAAGAACACCCGUGGCGAAGGCAGCUCGCUGGGACGGUACUGACGCUGAGGCGCGAAAGCGUGGGGAGCGAACAGG
rnacentral:rRNA from 1 species